AUACGUGCAUGCCUGUCAUCAACGUCUGCUGUAGAGGACCUCGACCCAAACGUAAAGCUGAGAGAUAGAGGUUUACACUUGACAACUGAUUGAUUCAGAGUUAUAGUAGUAAACAUUGGAGUUGGACGCUCAGAUCAUUCAUGUUCCUAACCUAGGGAAGGACAGUGGAGCUCAACUGAUGGGGAGGAGGAUGAAUAGAGAGAGUGUUAGUUAGCCGACGUGGACAUGGAUAGAUGGUACUGGAGGACAUCCCAGUGGAGGCCAGUGAUACCACGUGGAGUGUGCUGCUGUUGCCUUGGCCUUGAGGCCAUGCAGUAUAGCAUCAACUGACCUUUCCUGUCACGUAUCAUGCCAUAUGUAGUCCGAGAUGCACAAAGUGGUUGAACUUCUUCCACUUUGUCUCAUGAUGCAAUCCUGAUCACCUUGGAGAUAGAACAUCCAGGAAGAGACCCACCGACAUCCCAGCACUUCUCUUAGAGGGGGUCGAAGGCUUGAUUGGUGUGCUUGAGCGCUCAUGUGCAAGAUGUAGGUCAUGUGAUCGGAUGUGGUAUGGCAUAGUCAAGGCCAAUCAAUGUACAGGAUACAUGUAUGUUUCCAUGAUCAAUCAGUUCUUAUCCCCGAGCCUACAACAGUAAAAGGUCAGUGGAAGGAAGCGUCUUCUAGACCAUGUGAUUCAUGUUGGUUCACUCUAAAGCCCCGUAUCUCAAUCUCUUCAUUGGAAAUUGUGAAGUAAAGUCGGUGAAAUGCCAAAAUAUUAGCCACAUGAAUUGUUUGAGUAGCCAAACUUACCAAGUUGCCUCAUGAAUAUGUAAGCUUUAUCACAAAGAUAUGAACAAAAUCAAUUUAACAAGAACCAAACAACAACAAAACAAACAAACAAACAAAAUGCUUGUCUGCAGGAGAAGUUAUCUUGUAAUAAUUGAUUAGCAUUAUUUAUUGAUGAUUUAGUAGUAGUAUUUGUAUGUCAGAGGCAGCAAACAAUGUGCAUGGGUGCAUCAAGUUAUGUAGAAAGCUCUAAAAACAGCUUUGGUAAAAGUAGAUAGUGAUUAUAUACAUAGAAGUUGCAUUCUUACAUCACCAAAUCAAAAGAGAGCUAUAAACUGAAAGUUCUGCUUACUGUUGCUCGGUAGGUAUAUGCAUAUUCUUGACUGCACAUCACUGUAUUCUGCUUUGUGUAAAUUUGUUCCCGUUUGAUAUUCUACACUUGAUGUAAUAAAAAUGCAAAAAAUAUAUUGAUGUCUACUUAUGCAACUGCUUUUGAUAUUGUUGAUUUUCAUUGGUAUUACGAUAGGAUAAGAAGAUUUAUUAAAAUACCAGUUAAAUGCAAGUUAUUAUAUCAAAUAUACACUACCCAUCUCAAAAAAAUGACAGCAAGAUUGGCAGCAUAUGGCAGAGAAAGACACAGGAUAUUUCCCCCAAUGUUUAGAUGAAUAAGUUCUAUUAAAACUUUAAUCUUACCUGUCUCCGCUCAUGUAAAAUCUCUCAAGAUGUUAAUGGUUUCUGGGGUAGCAGCAGGAUAUAAAGGAUCGUGUGGAUUUCUUUCUCUCUCUCUUUUGAUAUUUUACUCAUCCAAGGAAACCAGAACUAAUAUCCUGUUGUCGAUGAAAUCCUUAAUUUCUUUCUGCCAACUCAUUAUCCAAAGAGAUUUUCAUCGAAACCUACAUACAGAUGGGCGAGUCUGGAAUGGAUGAUACAUUCCAUUGUGCAGCCGUUCACUAUUUUUCUGUUUCAUAAUUUUAAUGAAAGAUUUGUAACACCAUGAUUUUCCUUUAGUUUUUUUUUUUUUUUUUUU